rnacentral:rRNA from 1 species
AUUGAACGCUGGCGGCAGGCCUAACACAUGCAAGUCGAGCGGAUGAAGAGAGCUUGCUCUCUGAUUCAGCGGCGGACGGGUGAGUAAUGCCUAGGAAUCUGCCUGGUAGUGGGGGACAACGUUUUGAAAGGAACGCUAAUACCGCAUACGUCCUACGGGAGAAAGUGGGGGAUCUUCGGACCUCACGCUAUCAGAUGAGCCUAGGUACGAUUAGCUAGUUGGUGAGGUAAAGGCUCACCAAGGCGACGAUCGUUAACUGGUCUGAGAGGAUGAUCAGUCACACUGGAACUGGGACACGGUCCAGACGCCUACGGGAGGCAGCAGUGGGGUAUAUUGGACAGUGGGCGAAAGCCUGAUCCACCCAUGCCGCGUGUGUGAAGAAGGUCUUCGGAUUGUAAAGCUCUUUAAGUUGGGAGGAAGGGCAGUAAGUUAAUACCUUGCUGUUUUUACGUUACCGACAGAAUAAGCACCGGCUAACUUCGUGCCAGCCGCCGCGGUAACAC